rnacentral:rRNA from 1 species
AAUCAACGCUGGCGGCGUGCCUCAGACAUGCAAGUCGAACGAUUAAACUUUCCUUCGGGAAAGAUAUAAAGUGGCGCACGGGUGAGUAACACGUAGGUAAUGUACCUUUGGGUGGGGAAUAACCAUCGGAAACGAUGGCUAAUACCGCAUAAUGCAGCGGCAUCGCAAGAUGACAGUUGUUAAAGAUUUAUCGCCUAAAGAGCAGCCUGCGGCAGAUUAGGUAGUGGUAAGGUAAUGGCUUACCAAGCCUGCGAUCUGUAACCGACCUGAGAGGGUGGUCGGUCACACUGACACUGAAUAACGGGUCAGACUCCUACGGGAGGCAGCAGUCGGGAAUUUGGG